UACGGGGGGUGCGAGCGUUGUCCGGAAUCACUGGGCGUAAAGGGCGCGUAGGUGGCGUCGUAAGUCUGUGGUGAAAGCCCGGAGCUCAACUCCGGGUCUGCCGCGGAUACUGCGAGGCUUGAGUGCUGUAGAGGGGGGUAGAAUGCCGGGUGUAGAGGUGAAAUUCGUAGAUAUUCGGAAGAACACCAGUGGCGAAGGCGACUACCUGGUCUGGCAUUGACGCUCAUGUGCGAAAGCGUGGGGAGCAAACAGG
rnacentral:rRNA from 1 species